GAUUAAUGAAUGAUGACUAAACUUUUUUCCCCAGCAGAUCGACUCUGUUGACUUCUUUAAAAAAAAAAAAAAAGAGAGAGAGAAAUUAAGC